CUACUGACAAGUAUUGAGUAUGAAUUGAAGCCUGAUGCACCCUCUUCCUGUGAGCCAUUGAUCUCCACUAACUUAAACACUAACUGCAUUCAACUCAUGCAGUUAGCUACUGUUUAACAUCAUCUUGGGUUAGGCGUGUCCUGUUUCUCACUUGUUAGUCUUCAGCUUGGGAUAGGAGAGAAACUAUAACACCAACAUGUGUCAGUUCAAGGAGAGCUCAGACCCCAACGAUCAGCUUAACAAAUCUGUUAUUAUUAUUUGUUUGGGCCUCAAUCAUUACCCCUUCAAAGAAUAUAUCAAAAUGUUUUAAUUAUGCCCUUUUUUGUUGAAACUCAAAUUGGAUUGUAAAUUGCCUCAGUUCCUAACUUUAGAACACUAUUUCAAGAACAUGAUUGGUUCGAUGAGAAGCAACUUAUGAACAACAUUCGUACUUACCUACAAAAAAUGUUCCCGGUGUGCGGCGACCUUCUCCUUGGGCAGACCAGGAUCCGCAGGGUGCCUCUCGGUGAGGUGAACGUCCCGAAGGGCGUCCACGUCUGUAUCGGCAACACGAGACACGACUUCACCCCCUCAACCCCGGAGCAGAUGAAACAGCGGUGUGACGCCCUUCUCGAUCAGGACUUACCAUAUAAACUUUUCACCCUCAACUGCGAGCACUUUGCUACUUUUGUACGUUAUGGAACAGCAGUGUGCAACCAGCUUCCUGGUAGAACGAAGAAUAAAGAGUGUGAGUUGGCAACUGAAACCUUCAAGAACAUUGUCAGCCCUAAAGAAACUGAUGCAGGUCCCUUGAGGGAAACCUCUGACUUCUUUAAUUCACAUGUAUGGUAGGAAAAUGUAUUCAAAAGGGGAAUGAGGUAAACAUUGGUGUAAUUCGUACAUAGUCUGGUGGAAUAUAUGAAUCCUCUUUGUAUUAAUUCAGCAAAUCAUUUAUACUAAUCAUUUACAGAUUCUGCAACUCAUGGGCCAUGGGUGUGUUCUCAUGCAACCUCAGCCUAACAUGCCAAGUGUUCAAUUGUAACCUAGGCUCAAGUAUUUAUGUAUGUGGACGAGGGGAAGUACAGUGACUGCAGAGGAGCUUCCAACAUUGUAGUUUAACAUUUUACUUGAGCCUAACUCCAGAGGAGGGCAGUGCUGCGUCGAAAGCCCUAAAAACGGCAAACAGUUAAUCAACAGUUGCUAUCAGGACUGGUAAUCAAUUACUAAUUGUCUUCAUGUUGACAAAGGUAUCAUUUCAUUGUAUAGUUGGAUUUCUAAGCAUUGACUAAGCAUUAAGCAACUGUAGUAACAUGUCUUGUUAACAUGUAAUGGGGUUUUAAAUUAUAUAAACAUUAUAGCAGCAUUUAUAGCAGUAAGAGAGUUGCAGAUUGUAAGAAAAAAUAUACUGCUCUUUCCCAGGUGUUUUGGUCUCUGGUGGCCUUGGUAGGGUAAUAGGUAAGAAUAGGAUUGUAUUACUACAAGGCGCUCACAUGAUCAAUACUCAGUACAUUCCCAUGACUAAAUAAUGCUUUUAAGAACGUAUAUCAUUUUAAACAAAUAAAUUCAGAAUAGAAUUAAUUCAAAGGAAUGAUAAAUGUUAAAUGGACAAAAUUUGUAUUUCUCUUUUUAAGUCUUCCCACCCACAUCUUUUAAUACUACAUGUCUACAUUCACCCAUUUUCUUAUCUUCAAAGGCAAAUAGAUGAGAACAAGCAGAGCCAUUUUCUUUUAGAUCAAACUAUACUGAGACAUAUUGUAUUAUGGUGCAUUAUACCAUAUUUUUUCUAAUAUCACCCUAAACUACAACAUUGUUUAUGAUUUUUUAUGGCUUGAUAUACGAUAACAAUUUCAAAAAUACACUAUGAUAAUAAAUGAAUAAAUAAACUAUAAUACUUUCAUGUUUUUUAGACAUUCUAUCCAAUGAUCUAUUUGAUUAAAUACAUAAAGAGUUAUGAAAUGUUUAGCAUACUAUGCCAUUUUAAUUACAGUAAACUAAAGUUAAGUUAAGGGGUUUCAUGAUUUUGUUUUCAAGGCAUAUUAUGCAAUAAAAUAUUUUGUUACAUUUUUAUGACAUUAAAUACUACCGUGUGACAUUUUUCUGAUCUCUUACUCACUUUAACAAUUUGUGUGUUGUACUAUGAUAUUUUUAUGGCACAUUAUAGUAUGAUAAGAUGUAUAAUAUUCUUAACUGUUCGGUUCUUUAGUUUAAUUUUAGUCACUGUUCUCUGUUCUAAAGCAAACAAACAAGAUAAAGGUUUGGAUGCUUGAUGAUUGAUUCUUGUCCAUUAUGGGUGGUUCGGGACAGCUUUCUCUAUGGUUUUGCAAGACAUGCAAGUUAUGCAAGGUCAAAGUUGAAUCCAAGCACAGCAGUUGAGGAGGGAAGUCGGUGCAGUGUGCAAAGUCGCAGCUCUGCUUCAGCAUCUUCAGAGCAGGACAACUCAGCGGAUGCCCAGUUCAUCUGGUUGAGGCAACCUACCUCGGUGUAAGAGAAGCCAACAGUUGGGAACAGAGGAAAGCAGUGCAACUGUAAAACACUGGAAAUAUGCAGUAAGACUAUAAAACACAUCACCUCUGGCUAAAUUCUCUUUAGUGA
ensembl:lncRNA